rnacentral:lncRNA from 1 species
AGGCAAGGCAAAAAUAUUAGUUUUCGUUUGGAAUCAAGCUGGCGACCUCCCUCCCCGUCCAGGUAAAUUCAUCGCAACCGAUUGAGCUAGAUCAAUGUUUGCGUUUAGGUGAAGGUUGUUUUGUCUAUUCAAUAGUCUCGCCUUGGUUGCUUAUAGAUAAUCCCUUUGGUUGAUAUACUUUUUUGAGUUUUUAGGUAUCAAGGAGCUGACUUAGGAAUCAAUAAGCCAAGGGUAAGGAACGACAUGACAAAAAAAUAAAGAAGGAAAAUUUAGUUGAGACAACUACAUGUCAAAUGACAUGAGACCUGACAAAGGAAUGAAAGAAUUAGGAGAGAGAAAUAAAAAGGAAGAGAACUUUAUUUUUGAGGGCUAGGAAGAGGAGAACUAGACCUGAGAUGGAAGGAAGGAAGAUACAUGGUGGAUUAUUAAUAGGUGAUGGGCUGGAAUUCAAACAUACACGUGACAUGAAAAGAUACAUGGUGGACCAAACGGUGAUUUUGCUGCGGCGCCACCGCGGUGCUCUUCACCGACGCAGCCGUCCGUGAGCGGCUCCACCUCCUGGCCAUCGUCUUGUGCCGGCCCCGAACCUAGGGUUCCAGCACGGUCACUUCCUCCGAGUCCAAGCCUCCAAGGUGUACGGCCUCGACUACAAUUUUACAGGUAAGCCCCUUCUCCUUUCAUUCUUCUUAAGGUUUCAUGGUGGGGGCCUAGAAAGAUCCAUGAGACUACAUACUAAAGGAGGAAUAUGUAUUGAAAGCGCCAAUGAAAUAUCAGUAAAAGGAAUUUAAUCAUAAAAAUUUGUACUUUUUAAUAACAUUAUUACGAGAUUAAGAAAAUAAAAUGCCCAUAGAUGUAUUGUUUUAGUUCAAUUUAUUAGAGUAUUAGUAAGAUGCCCGUGCUAUGCUACAGAAUCACAUGAAAUAAAUUGGAACUACAAAAGUACAAGCCCAAAUAUGUAGUACUAUGAUUUUCGUCAAGAGAAGGUUAGUCUUUAGUCAUAUCAAGAAAAUCUUUGUUCAACGAUGCUACAAACAUCAGAGAGUUACAUCGAGCCACACACACCAUUUCAUUUUGAUUACACCCAUCCUUAGCUAACACAUGUCAACAACUAUUUGCGACUCAACAUGCCUCCAAGCUGUUGCAUUUUACUUUACCCAGAGAUCACACCAACUUGAUAUGUUGUUCAUGUGGUCUUGGCAUUACACUACCUUAAGAUUUGACUUCAAAAGUGAAACUCAGUUUCAGUUACAACAAGGAUCACAAAAGCACUUUCCAUCAUUGUCCACGGCACCGUACACCCAAAAUUAAGCAAAGUGAAGCAACACGGUUCAAAAGUAGCUCAACCUAGCUUAAGUAACACAUUAUCCUAUUAUUCUAAGACUUCACUUUUGCUUCACGACUCCAUUCUUCAUCUUCUUUUGAUUCAUGGAGGUGAUUGUCCAGCAAGAUCAUUAUUGAUCCUAUAGAAAAUUAUUUGUAAAUAUUUAAUAUACCGUAUAAAGCAAAUAGUGGAUAACUUCAACCAAAUUUUCAAUUACCUCUGCCUUAAUUCACGCGCUGCUGUGAUGUUCGGGUUAAAGUGCAUCCUACUAAAGUCUGUAGGAUGCAGGCCACGAUCUAGUUAAUUAAAGACAAAACAUCAAUAUAUUAGCAAAAUUUAUUUUCACAUUAUUAUUAUAUGCAUAGAAAAAUGCAUGCACUUAGACUUACCGAUGCGCUCUGCACGUAACAUUGUUGCCACAACAAUAGCACGCUCCUCGGCGAGUUUUUCCCAUGCACUUAGAUUAUUAGUCACCAACUUGUCCCAUACAACUAACUUGACAAUAUUAUAGCUACAAAAUCAAUUAAUAUAGAAGAGAAAUGUAAGAACUUUGAAUCAUUUAGAUAACUCAAAAUCAUAAGAUACACAUACGUGUCAUCUAGCAGAACAAUAUUUCUCACUGGGAUCCUCCGAUUGUAGAAACCGUCUUUAUAUCCCAUAGAACUUACAAAUAAAACCAUGCCAAUAACAUCUAACAUUUGAACAGAAAAAUAUUAAUAGUUGAUUUGUUACAAAAGAACAGUUAGAACGAACAAAAGGAAACUGAAGCACUUACCAACAUAUGUAUCAUUAUCUAGGGUGAACUCCCAAACUCUGUCAAAAGGAAUAAACGCAGGGAACAAUGGGAUCAAGCGCUCAUUCACAUUUCUCAACUCAUUAAUUGUUGUCACUGAGCUGAAAUGGCACACAAAUUGACUAUCUGCAAACAAAUAAUCCUGAUUCCUCAUAAUUGGUUCUGCAAGCAUCUUCCACACAUAAUAUACCCGCCCCUCUACGAGCAAAGGAUCAAACCGAUCGACGUCGUCAUCAUAUACUACAGCGGCCAUUUUCUUACCCUAUUAAUAAAAAGAUAAAAUAGAUUGUGACAAUCCAAUGUUUUAAAAUAUUAUUUGUUGCAGUUGAAACUAAAUGUGCACAUGAGUACUACCUUAUCAUCCAAUAACACCAUGUUAAGCCGCUUUCUACCAGAAGCCAACCUCUCCACAUGGAACUUGUGGUACACUCGGACACACAAAUUCCACCUACUGUAAGGAUGCACAUCCUCAAGUGUUGGGAUGCGUGGCGCUUCAACUCUCUUACGCUUCAGUGACCUCAUCUUGUCCUGAAAGAAGAACUGAGAAUUAAUGUACAAGAGAAUAUAUAUCUUGAUGCCACCAACUAUAUAUAUUAGAGCCUCCCCGAAAAAGUAUGUGAAUCAAAAGACAUAUCAUCAGCCCAAGCACAAAUUCAGAAGUGAAUAAAAUUUAGUAUAUACUUCUUCAGCAUUUAUAAGUAGUUGCACAACUUUUAAGCCAGACUUAAAAAUUUCUGGAAUGAGCAACCAUGGAAUAGUGAAAUGAGAUAGGAACAUGGCAUGACUGAAACUAAGGGUUGCAAUCAAUUUGAGAUCACCAUUCUUGUUCAAUACCCUUCGAGCUCUCUCCUUGUUCAAAGCCUUUGAUCGAUGUGAGGAUACUGUGAGUAGGAAAACUUGCAGCUAACUCGUUUAGAACAUCUUCAUCAUCUGAGGAUGUUCCACUCAAGGUUCUUGAGUUGGAUGGCUCAUGUAUUACCAAGCCUGUUGGAGCGCUCUUUGUGUUGUUAUGUUCAUUUACCACUGUUACAAAUAUUGCAAUGUCAGCUAUAAUGUUUAGUUUAUAUAUUUAAUAAGAAAAACGUUAAGGGACAGGGUAAGAACCUUCUUUUCCUUUAGCAGACUGUUGGCUGGGACAAGGCAUUUUGCAAAUGAAUCUUUGUUUACGAGAAGUUAUGAAGUUAGCAACCUUGGUCGCUGGCCCCGGCGGGUGAGCCCUCUGCAAAUCAGCGGUUGCUGGCUCCAGAAGUUCUUUUGGUGUGGCCUCCUCCCUCUAGAAGUUCUUUUGGUUAAUGUAAUAUCUGAAUCAGUGAUCUUUGGCAACUUUGCUAGUUUCUACUUUCUAGUGCCCCCAUUUGCAACAGCCUGUGGAAUUGGUACACAUGUCAAUUGCUAUAAUAGGUGGAAAGAGCAUGUUUUAUAGACUUUUUUCCAAGCAUUAUCUGACAAUAACAGACACUGUAGCAGCAUUUGAAAUUCUGAAUUAUACAUAAUUUAGCCAUAUCGGUCUUUUGAAUACUCAAUCAUUAGGCCAAUGUCAUACGCAGUCCACUCCCUGGUCAUACCAGAUCAAGAAAAUUACAAAAUUGACGAAGGUAUAAACUAACAGCCGAAAUACUUGAAGGUAAUGCCUAAAUCUAUCAAGAUUAGGACGAAAAGGGAAGCUCAAAACGCCGGCAUCUGCAGUAAUAUAAGGACCCAAAAGCUUUCGGGAGAGUUCAAGGGCGUCUUAUUAUGGCGUGGCGAGUGGCUGGAGCCUGUCGUAAGCCGGCCCGGUAGAUUUGCGGAUGUGUUCUGUUUCAACAAUAAACUGCAAUUUUUACUACUAAGCUAUAAACAGAUUCAGAACCAACAUGGUGUACCUUGUGGAG